AGAAAAAAAAUCAUACGCCCCGAAAACGAAUGAACGGAGUAAAACUUAUUAACAUGUUUUAUGUUCUUUUCCAAUCUAAAUUCGAUUCAAUUGUUUUUUUAAGCUUUGCCAUUUCAGUCGUAUGCAUCUAUGGAGAAAAAUCCAAGAGUGCGGUAAAAAGUGGAGGACGUUAAACAUAUUACAUCAUUGAAUUAGAUUGGUUUUGAAUUCCACUGCAAUCCAUCAGAGACAUUAAAGAGAAUAUUUUGAAGCUAACUCAUGUACCGGAAAAAAAAAUGCAUGGAAGUUUUGAAUACCCAUUUCAUUAAUUUGUUGUUAAAGGAUGGCUAAUUUGUUUUUUCAAAAAUAUGGGUCAAAGAUUUAUUUUUUAAAAUUUCCUAUGGUUCAAACAUGGUUGUAACAUUUAUUUUCUUAAUGGCACAUUUAUCUUUUCAGUUUAUUAAGAGGGUUAUCAUAAAGGAAUGAGGUUACAAACACCACCACCGCUAGAUGUCUUUUGCUGAGAUGAGAUUGGGAUAGUCGGAUCACCUGUUUGUCUCCCAAAAUGUUAUCCGUCCGUUCAAGCUCAAAAACCCAUGCUGCUUUGUAUUGUAGAUGUUUUCCCUUUGUUUGUUAAGCUUCUGGGUGUUUCUCAAUAGCUCUUAGGGUUCCAAAAAUUAAUGGUGGUUUGUCUUUGUUCUCUUUGAUCAGAGAUAUGACGGGGUGCUGUCUUUUUGCUGAUGGCUGGUGUUGCAGUUAUAGUGGUGUUUUCGUUGUUGAAUUGGGGGUUCUUCUCAAUUUCUCAACUCUGUGCUUUGAUUGGUGGUUUCCCGACUGAAGAGUUUCUGGUUGUUGUCUCUGGCUUCAAGAGAUGGUUCCGAGGUCAUAGCGGUGCUACUACUGCGCUAGGGUUCCAGUUUCUUCUUGGGAUGGAUGUGGAUCGGGUCGUUGAUUUGGAUCAAUAGAUCUCUGAUUCUCUGGUUGUGUUGGCUUGCGGUUCGUAGUUUUUUGUUGGCGUGUUUCGUGUUUGUAAAUCGUAAAUGUUGUCUCCACUGGUUUUGUGGAAUCUGUUUUCAGAGUCGGUUCCAUAUGUAUCAGUUUGGUUGCUUUAGUUGUUUGCAAUAUGAAUACUAGUUGUCCCUUA